rnacentral:rRNA from 1 species
UGGGGAAUUUUGGACAAUGGGCGCAAGCCUGAUCCAGCCAUGCCGCGUGUCUGAAGAAGGCCUUCGGGUUGUAAAGGACUUUUGUCAGGGAAGAAAAGGCUGUUGCUAAUAUCAGCGGCUGAUGACGGUACCUGAAGAAUAAGCACCGGCUAACUACGUGCCAGCAGCCGCGGUAAUACGUAGGGUGCAAGCGUUAAUCGGAAUUACCGGGCGUAAAGCGAGCGCAGACGGUUACUUAAGCAGGAUGUGAAAUCCCCGGGCUCAACCUGGGAACUGCGUUCUGAACUGGGUGACUAGAGUGUGUCAGAGGGAGGUAGAAUUCCACGUGUAGCAGUGAAAUGCGUAGAGAUGUGGAGGAAUACCGAUGGCGAAGGCAGCCUCCUGGGAUAACACUGACGUUCAUGCUCGAAAGCGUGGGUAGCAAACAGGAUUAGAUACCCUGGUAGUCCACGCCCUAAACGAUGUCAAUUAGCUGUUGGGCAACUUGAUUGUUCAGUAGCGUAGCUAACGCGUGAAAUUGACCGCCUGGGGAGUACGGUCGCAAGAUUA